UCGCUUAGGCAGUACAUAUACUAAAUUUGGAAUGAUACAGAGAAUAGCAUGGCCCCUGCGCAAGGAUGACACGCAAAUUCGUGAAGCAUUCCAUAUUUUU
rnacentral:snRNA from 1 species